rnacentral:tRNA from 1 species
CAGAAUAAAGCUAGAUAGUUGAGCAUUUCAUUUACACUGAAAAAAAUUCUGUGCAAUUCAGAGUAUUCUGA